AGCAGCCGCGGUAAUUCCAGCUCCAAUGGCGUAUAUUAAAGUUGUUGCAGUUAAAAAGCUCGUAGUUGAAUUUCGGGGUUAGCAGGUCGGUCGUGCCAUCGGUAUGAACUGGUCUCGCUGAUCCCUCCCUCUUGACGAACUGUGAUGCCAUUAAUUUGGUGUCGCAGGGAAUCAGGACUGUUACUUUGAAAAAUUAGAGUGUUUAAAGCAGGCUCACGCUUGAAUACAUUAGCAUGGAAUAAUGAAAUAGGACGUUUGAUCCUAUUUUGUUGGCUUCUAGGAUUGACGUAAUGAUUAAUAGGGAUAGUUGGGGGCAUUAGUAUUCAAUUGCCAGAGGUGAAAUUCUUGGAUUUAUUGAAGACUAACUACUGCGAAAGCAUUUGCCAAGGAUGUUUUCAUUAAUCAAGAACGAAAGUUAGGGGAUCGAAGACGAUCAGAUACCGUCGUAGUCUUAACCAUAAACUAUGCCGACUAGGGAUCGGAUGAUGUUAAUUUUUAAUG
rnacentral:misc_RNA from 1 species